ACUGCUUCAUGACAAGAGGUUCCAUGCUGACAGCAUCUGGGGAAACCUCGCUGGGCCUCGGAGGUCCUUCCUAUGGGUGAUAUGCCACCCACCCUGGGUCGAGAGUCAGAGAAGCGCGGCCGGUCCCACUGCUGGCUUCGCCUGCCUGUUUCCCACAGCUUCCCUCUAGUCAUCCACCUACACCUGCUGCCCAGUUCCCUAGAAACCUGCCUAGUGUAAAAGGAAGCAACUCUGGAGAACAGAAUGAGAAAUCAGAAAGCAAGGCCCUGUCCUCUGAGUUCUGUCCUGGAUGGGGACUGAGGAAGUUUUAUGUGGUCCAGAGAGGCUGCAUCAGUCUCAGGCCCCUAAGCCUUGCCUGGUUCAACAGUAUUAUUUCACUCACGCUGGUCACCCCAUUGUUAGAAAGAGCAAGGAAAGGAGGAUGAGAAAGGAAGAGAGGGAGGGAGAAAAUUGUCCCCAAGAAAAGGAAACUAUUGUCUGGUGAUGGACAGAUGGUUUCCUCAAUUUAUAUAAUUUAAGAUACAGAUCAUUCCCAAUACAACUUAGAAUCUCAUUAGUCAGUACAAUUUUCUGAAGGUUCAAUCUUUCAUUUCUAUUCUCUACCCUGGCAAGAACGUUGGAGCUUACCAUCAUAAGUGACAGGAAUGAACAUUGGAGCUUACCAUCAUAAGUGACGGGAAUAGCAUUAUCUCCAAACCUGAGAUCCUUCCAAUGGGAAUUCUACAACUCCUGGGAGUUUAUGAUUCACACAUGUAGACAAUGUCUGUACCUAUACUCAGAGAUGUAGACUGGCCUCAAUAGAGUUCAUUGAGCUAAAACAAUACUAGGUAAACAAUGGAAUUUAUUUUCAAGACUGAACUCAGUUCUCAUCAGUUCAAGGUUAACCUCAACAAAAUGAAUCCAGUAAUGGAAAGAAAAUGAAAAAAAGAACAAACAAAACGAAAUGACUGCACUACGUAUUUAGGCCCAGCUGACAGAAUCUCAACACUGAAUGAUACUGAUAAAUAGGUUUCCUUGUGUAUCCAGUGUGAAGUCUUGGUUGUUAUUCGUUUUCCAACGAACAUUAAAGUCAUCUUUGGAUUCUCU
rnacentral:lncRNA from 1 species